GCGCCGGUGGUCUAAUGGCUAUGACAACGGCCUUCCAAGCCGUUUAUCCGAGUUCGAAUCUCGGCCGGCGCA
rnacentral:tRNA from 1 species